UGUGGGUUUAUCAGGCUUUCCGAAGUUGAUUAGAUUACAUUCACAAGUGGGCCUAACUGGAUUCGGGGUAUAGUCCUCUAGCUAGUUGAGCCCAUCUCGGCAACAUGGCCCAAUAAAAUUAGGGUUUCAUAUCAUUAGUAUUUAACUACCGGCGGAGCCCCUAAACGUAGUACCUCUCUCUAUCAUUGUCCGCAGCCUCUCUGAUUUUGAAUCAAAAGAAAGAAGGAACACAGGGCUUGGAUACUUUGUCACCAUGAGAGCCAAGUGGAAGAAGAAGCGUAUGAGGAGGUUGAAGAGGAAGCGCCGAAAGAUGAGGCAGAGAUCCAAGUAGUUUUCUAUUUUAUCAAUAAUAGUGAAACUUGUCGUUCGUUUUAGUAUUUCUUGUUUUUGUUAUCAGUACUUCUUUCAACUGAGUAGAUUAUUUCCGUUUUAAAUUUCAUGAUUUUGUUAGACUUUCAAACUCGAUGGGAAUGGGAUUUUGGUUUCGCUUA